AUUAAUAUUUACCAUCGUGCAGGAAAAUCUUAAUGGUUACCACUACAGAGCACACUUUCCUGUAGACUUUCCUUCCGUAUUUAUGUAGCAACAAUUAUGUGAUCCAAGCGAUGAAGAAAGGGAAGAUUAAUUUCAUUAGUAUUCACAAGGACGUCGCCUUGCAAAUUAGGUUAGAAUAAUAAACCUCUAGAAUUUAAAUGCGCUUCCACUGCCUUCAACAUAAUGAUGCAGAAAAGUAAUCUUUUAAACGUCAUUUACAGCAUCAGAACAAUACAUCAGGAACAACUACUUUUCCGGUGAAGUUCUUGAUCUAACCAGGAAGCUUCAACGGGCAGAAUUAAAACGAUUACUCGGUUUCGGUUCCCUGUGUAUUAACAGUUUCUGCGGGCGACUCUGCUGGUGGCUUGUGCAAUCAAUCAACUAACUAGUUGCAUUCACAUGUAGUGGUUUGUCACAUUUGUAACACUGUGCGUCAACUAUUGUACGGGCACCGUUGAUUACGUUACUUCUCUGUUUUCUGUCUUUAUCCAACGAUUUUAUGCUUCUACCAAUUCUUUUAAAUUGCAUUUAUAGAAAGAAUUCUGAUAUUUACUUAAGAGGUUAAGUUCCUCAUCGAAAUUCCUUCGUACAGAAAUCAUAACAAUUUAUUAUCGGCGACAAAAUUUUCUUUGGUUAGCAAUAAUUAAAGUUUAGCAUUUAUUAUUAUUACAAGUUUUCAACCAAUUGUCAGUGUAGUGCUAUAUAUUGAUUUGUUGAUUUACAUGGAAAUUAAUCUUGAUCCGGCUAGAAAGAUAUUAGAGAAAUUGUCUAGUUUUUACAAUGACAAAACCAAAAUGGGAAGGGACGAAUAACUUGAAUACGAGAGAGAAGUCGACGGUGAUCUCAGAUUAAUUUGCAGAACGUGUGAAGAACGACGGUAAAAUGUCUGUGAGAAUGAAAGUAAUACUCUUCUCUGCCUAUUUAGAUACGUCUCAUUAAUAAGACACAUCUAAUAUAAGUUUGUAAGUACUUUUGUAGAAGACUAAAUUGGCUUCCGACAAGGCAAUUGCAUCGCAUCAGACUUUAUUUCACGAUUUCUAUAUUGAUAAGACGAGCCACAGUGGUCAAACCAGCUAUUUUAGCUAAAUAAGUAGAUUCUUAAGUGGACAUCAACGAGGAAAAGAUAUUCACGAUGACACCUCUUCCGGUUUACCAUUUUCAACGAGGCUAAUAAUACUCUUUCCCGCUAAUGAUAGUCUUAAACGUGAUUGCUAUGAAAAUCAUUAUGUCAAUGAAUUUUUAUAGUAACGUAUUGCAAAGAAGAAGACAGCGAAAACUUUUGUUCCUUUGGAGGCGUGUCUGUGGAAAUAUACGAUACCAAUCCGUUCCACGCCAUUCGUCUGCGAGGAUAAACUAACAGAUCAUUAAAAUUCGCCGAAAAUACACGACUGAUGCUGUUUCGUGUUUUCGAGAAUUCGAUCGAACUGUUGAUAUAGCCUCUUUACAAGUUUGUCAAAGUUUACAAAUCCUGUUCCUAAUAUUCCAUGUUUAGCACUGGAUUUAGGAUUAAAAAUUAGUUUAAAAGUCAUUAAGAAAUUCUUGGUUCAUUUGGUCUUCUUUACCUAUUAUGAAAUAUUUGUAUUUUAUCAGCUGAUAUCUGUUUCCUAUUAAUGAAUAUUUAAAAUGAUUUACAUUUCAAAAGCAAUGAAUCGCAAAUGUCUAAAUAUAAAAAUGUAACGAUAUUUUAAUUGAAUUUUAAUAUUCAGAACAGCGAUAGUGUUUCAUCAAUAUUGGAAGGUAUUUUAUUAGAAUUGUUAGAAAGUUAUGUUUAUAAUAUGUUAUAUAAUUGUUGCAAAUCCUUGAGAAUUCGAUGGCCGAAAACGCGUUAGAAACUCAUGAUACUGUUUUGCAUGCAACAAAUACGAUAUGUAUAAGUAGCACGUACUGUGAUUUUAGAUUUGUUCGAAUACACAAGCGACCACGUGAGCUGCAAAACGAUUACGUUAAACUGUUAACAUUUUCACUCUGGUUUUCCCCAAUUUCGAUCUUUAUUAUUGGUUAUUAGAGUAAGUGUCGCGCGCGAGACAUUCAGACCCUUGACUUGAAAAUUUUUAUUUAAAUUUAAAAAUUUGAAUUUGAAUUUAGACAUUUUUAUUUAAAAUUAAAGACUCAAGUUUGAAUUUUUCUGUUUAAGGAAGCAACUGCACUCUUCUGAAUAUACAUUACGAAAAACUUUUAUCAUGAAGUAAAUAAAUGAAUUCUGCAGGUUUGCUUCAAAAACCAAAGAGAAGACAAAUGUUUGAUAUAUCUAGUUAGCUACAAUGAAAAAGGCGGAUUUUCUACCGACCAUUAUGUUAAAUAUAAUUGAAAAUAUACAAACGCCUAUAAACGAUCAAAUAAACGCUUCAAUAAAAGAAAACUUCCAGCGCCCCUCAAGAUAUGGGGGAAAUAUUUCUAUCUGUGUAUCGCUUUUCAAAA